AGCUGAACAAGCUAAGGGCACACCUGGUUUCUUAAUGCAAACCCUUUAGUUCAAUAUCCAAGAAUGAAAGCCAGUUAAAAAGUCCAACAUGGCUCCCUCUUAGGGGAGGUGAUUGCUGACUCUGGGCAUGAUAGAGUAAUAUCACCUGUUGCAUUCUUGUUGAACAUUUAUUAACCUGAGACCAAGGAGCUCAGAAUUUCUGCGAAAGUUUCUUCUGAAUGGGGACGAAAGACAGAUGUGGCAGAGUUAAACCAUUUUUAAGCAAAGACCCUCCAGAAAUAAUACAAAAUUUGUAAGAAAACAACGGAGCAAACUUGUUCAGAAUGUCAGCUCAACCAGCAAAGAAACAAAAUGUUCAAAUGAAGGGAGCAGCGGCAGAGAUUUUCAAGAAUCAUGGAGUGAAAGAUUUGGCAUGAUCAAAAAGGGUGAUAAAGUAUUAUGCAUCUUAUGUUCUGAAACAGUGGUAUGCAGGACUUCCUCCGUAAAGCAGCAUUAUGGAAGUGUUCAUUAAUGGCUUUGCAAUAAAACCCUCCAGAUGUUCAUGGACUCCAACUGCCAGCAGCCCCAGCCACCAUGGCCAAUGCCAGGGAGAAUGGAAAUUGUAAUGUGAUUUGGCAUGAUAAUGCAAAGAAAUGGAAGCUACUUUAUAAAAAACCCUGAAUUGGCAUUUAUUGCCAAUAGCGAACAUUGAUCCCUUAAGAAGUGGUAUCAGAAGGGAGUUCGAUGGAGUGAAAAUUGAACUGGUACUGAAAUGCGGAUCCCAUCCCUGCUUUUGGAUAUAUGAUUUCUUCCUAGUUCAAGGUUCAAUGGUUGUUUCUGAGUGGCAACUUCUGGUUUGGCUUAUUAUCACAACAUGUACAAGGAAAAGACAAAACAGGUACUUCGGAAAAGGAGAAAUGCUUUUAACCCACCCUGGAUCUUAUCAACAAACUGCAGAGCCUGCUCUGCCCUGACUCCAUAUGUAUUAAUGCCCAAAGCAUUGAGGUGGAAUGUAUAUAUUCACAUUUGAUCUCCUUCCAAAAUGUCACAGAUUCAUUGCCAUAAACAUAACAGGAAGACUCGGGGGGGGGAUGUCACCACACUAUGGUGUGGGGUAAAAACCAGAAAGAAAAUUCAGUUACAAAAUCUUUCACCUUCUCCAGCUCCUUUGACUCUUAAGGUGCUUCCAGACUGCCACAAUUUUGCAGGUAGGAUUCAAUCACAAACCUGAAAAGGCUUCACAAUUAAUGUAGAUUUGGGGCUGUUGUGCUACAAACCCACUGCCCCCAAAAUAAAGCAUUUUGUAUUAAGGAAACUGAUGAAACAAUGCACUGGAAAGUGUGGGAAAACAAUUGUAUGAUGUGACAAAUGAAACAAAUCAGAAUGAGCUCAAUUAACAGUCAACAUCAUAUAGCCUCCCUGCAAACUCAAAUCAACAGGAAUGCUUAAUAAACAGGUCACCUGGAAGCAAGGAUGUGCUAGAAUUCCGCCCAAUUGUGAUUCUGUACUAAUUUUUUUCAUUAAUUUGCUUAUUCUGAAUAGCUGAGGAUCGGAUUUUAAUGUUGCAAAUUUCUACAGCUAAUUUUGAAAAUAGGCUUUUUAAAAAAGACACCUCUAAAAUAUUUGUUUCAAGAAUUAUAAUUUAUUGAUAUUUCUUUUAAAAAUAGCGAUACUUUUCCUUUAAAAAUAUCAAUAUUAAGAUUGAUUAUUUUUCUGAGCAAACAAAACACGGAUAGGUAAAGCAGCGGCUUGCAGAUAAAAAAUGAACUCGAAUCGAUAGUCGAUGGAAUGCUUUCAAACUGGCACUGGCCAACGGAUCCCAUUCCUAAGUAGAAGCAACUCAUUACACAGAACUCAUUCCAUUUUCACCUUAUCUGCCCCACUUCCAUGUAUGAGCAGACAAAAGGCCUAAUCUGACUACUGAAUAUCUCCAUGUGAUUAUGUGGGCACAUGAUUGCAUGGAAAAAGUCUAGUGCUGAUGUGGGUGCAUGGAGGGGUCUGUCAGUUAUCUCCAUGAUUUCAGCUGCUGGAAAACCCUGAUAAUGAUGGCAAGUGGGGUAGCUCCUGGUUCAUCACACACAAUCAUCUUCAUACAAACAUUUUAUCUACUUAGAUGUGGACCUGCCUUCACAAUCAUAUGGAUAAACUCCCUUGUAAUGUGCCCCUUAAUCCAACCAUUCUGUGUCUUCCUUAGGAUUGUUAUUUAAUGCCUGGAGUGCUUACAGUAACAAGGUGGAGUACAAAAGAACAAAAUAUUGAAACAGGUCCUUACCUCUGGGAUACAAUCUCAGUGACUAAAUUCACAAAAAAAAGGGAGUGGACAGAAAAGAUAAAGGAGGGGAGAGAGGUUUAAGAAGGACAGAUAUGAAGAAUUAGUUUUUAAAGAGCCAUUUAAACAUGGCCAUGGAAGGUGAGAUACAAAUGCCAGAAGGUAUAGGACUGCAGUGUUGGGGGCCAGCACAGGAGAACAAUGAAGCUGAGAGAUGGAGGUUUCCAGUUGACCUUUGUGGGGAUGGGGGCAGCGUCUCUCCCACUCAACUCUCCUUUGAAA